AUUGAACGCUAGCGGCAGGCCUAACACAUGCAAGUCGAACGAGGGGCGGACGGGUGAGGAAUGUCUGGGACACUGCCUGCUGUAGGGGGAUAACUGCUGGAAAAGGUAGAUACUCCCGCAUACCAUCGGAUGUGCUCAGAUGGGAUUAGGUAGUCGGUGGGGUCACGGCUAACCUAGGCGACGCUCCCUAGCUGGUCUGAGAGGAUGACCCGCCACACUGGAACUGAGACACGGUCCGUACUCCGACGGGAGGCAGCCGGGGGGAAUAUGGCACAAUGGGCGAAAGCCUGAUACAGCCAUGCCGCGUGUAUGAAGAAGGACUUCGGGUUGUAAAGUACUUUCAGCGGGGAGGCGUUACCCGUAGAUGAAGCACCGGCUAACUCCGUGCCAGCAGCCGCGGUAAUAC
rnacentral:rRNA from 1 species